rnacentral:rRNA from 1 species
ACGUAGGUGGCAAGCGUUGUCCGGGUUUACUGGGUGUAAAGGGCGUGUAGGCGGAGGUGCAAGUCAGAAGUGAAAUCCACGGGCUUAACUCGUGAACUGCUUUUGAAACUGUACCCCUUGAGUAUCGGAGAGGCAGGCGGAAUUCCUAGUGUAGCGGUGAAAUGCGUAGAUAUUAGGAGGAACACCAGUGGCGAAGGCGGCCUGCUGGACGACAACUGACGCUGAGGCGCGAAAGCGUGGGGAGCAAACAG